UAGGGAAUCUUCCACAAUGGACGCAAGUCUGAUGGAGCAACACCGCGUGAGUGAGGAAGGUUUUCGGAUCGUAAAGCUCUGUUGUUGGUGAAGAAGGAUAGAGGCAGUAACUGGUCUUUAUUUGACGGUAAUCAACCAGAAAGUCACGGCUAACUACGUGCCAGCAGCCGCGGUAAUACGUAGGUGGCAAGCGUUGUCCGGAUUUAUUGGGCGUAAAGCGAGCGCAGGCGGAAUGAUAAGUCUGAUGUGAAAGCCCACGGCUCAACCGUGGAACUGCAUCGGAAACUGUCAUUCUUGAGUGCAGAAGAGGAGAGUGGAAUUCCAUGUGUAGCGGUGGAAUGCGUAGAUAUAUGGAAGAACACCAGUGGCGAAGGCGGCUCUCUGGUCUGCAACUGACGCUGAGGCUCGAAAGCAUGGGUAGCGAACAGG
rnacentral:rRNA from 1 species